GAUGAAUGCUGGCGGCGUGCCUAAUACAUGCAAGUCGAGCGGUAACAGGAGUAGUUUACUACUUGCUGACGAGCGGCGGACGGCUGAGUAACGCGUGGGAACAUGCCCCAAAGUGAGGGAUAAGCACCGGAAACGGUGUCUAGUACCGCAUAUGGUCUUCGGAUUAAAGGAUUUAUCCGCUUUGGGAGUGGCCCGCGUACGAUUAGUUUGUUGGUGAGGUAAUGGCUCACCAAGACUACGAUCGUUAACUGGUCUGAGAGGAUGAUCAGUCAGACUGGAACUGAGACACGGUCCAGACUCCUACGGGAGGCAGCAGUGAGGAAUCUUCCACAAUGGGCGAAAGCCUGAUGGAGCGACGCCGCGUGCAGGAUGAAGGCCUUCGGGUCGUAAACUGCUUUUAUGAGUGAAGAAUAUGACGGUAACUCAUGAAUAAGCACCGGCUAACUACGUG
rnacentral:rRNA from 1 species